rnacentral:rRNA from 1 species
AGUGAACGCUGGCGGUAGGCCUAACACAUGCAAGUCGAACGGCAGCACAGUAAGAGCUUGCUCUUACGGGUGGCGAGUGGCGGACGGGUGAGGAAUACAUCGGAAUCUACUUUUUCGUGGGGGAUAACGUAGGGAAACUUACGCCAAUACCGCAUACGACCUACGGGUGAAAGCAGGGGAUCUUCGGACCUUGCGCGAUUGAAUGAGCCGCUGUCGGUUUAGCUAGUUGGCGGGGUAAAGGCCCACCAAGGCGACGAUCCGUAGCUGGUCUGAGAGGAUGAUCAGCCACACUGGAACUGAGACACGGUCCAGACUCCUACGGGAGGCAGCAGUGGGGAAUAUUGGACAAUGGGCGCAAGCCUGAUCCAGCCAGACCGCGUGGGUGAAGAAGGCCUUCGGGUUGUAAAGCCCUUUUGUUGGGAAAGAAAAGCAGCAGGUUAAUACCCCGCUGUUCUGACGGUACCCAAAGAAUAAGCACCGGCUAACUUCGUG